AUUGAACGCUGGCGGCAUGCUUUACACAUGCAAGUCGAACGGUAACAGGGAGCUUGCUCCGCUGACGAGUGGCGAACGGGUGAGUAAUGCGUCGGAACGUGCCGAGUAGUGGGGGAUAACGCAUCGAAAGGUGUGCUAAUACCGCAUACGUACUGAGGUAGAAAGUGGGGGACCUUCGGGCCUCACGCUAUUCGAGCGGCCGACGUCUGAUUAGCUAGUUGGUGAGGCAAAGGCUCAACAAGGCGACGACCAGUAGCGGGUCUGAGAGGAUGAGCCGCCACACUGGGACUGAGACACGGCCCAGACUCGUACGGGAGUGAGCAGUGGGGAAUUUUGGACAAUGGGCGCAAGCCUGAGCCAGCCAUGCCGCGUGUCUGAAGAAGGCCUUCGGGUUGUAAAGGACUUUUGUCCGGGAGCAAAUGCUGGUGGCUAACAUCCACCGGAGCUGAGAGUACCGGAAGAAUAAGCACCGGCUAACUACGUGCCAGCCGCCGCAGUAAUAC
rnacentral:rRNA from 1 species